rnacentral:lncRNA from 1 species
AAAAAUCACGGAAAAGCGGAGCUUACCGGCGGCGGCGCUCUCGGGUACGGCGACUCUCUGGCGAGGUUCGUGUUUUGGUGAUUUGGCUUCGGUCAACCUGUAGAGAAAAGAAUGGUGAUCACGGUGAUAUAAAAAUUGCAUCGAACGGAGGCCGGGAAGGGCCUCGUCGGAGGCAAAAACCGAGAGGGGGCGCGGCGGCACCGCUGGGCUUCGGCCGCGUAUUCCGGCCGUUUGGCCGGGAUUUCGGCUUCGAUUUGGCCAUAGGAGGAAUCAGUGGGGAAAAACGAGUC